CGGGGGGGGCAAGCGUUGUUCGGAAUUACUGGGCGUAAAGGGCUCGUAGGCGGCCAACUAAGUCGGAUGUGAAAUCCCCAGGCUCAACCUGGGAACUGCAUCCGAUACUGGAUGGCUUGAAUUCGGGAGAGGGAUGCAGAAUUCCAGGUGUAGCGGCGAAAUGCGUAGAUAUCCGGAGGAAUACCGGUGGCGAAGGCGGCAUCCUGGACCGACAUUGACGCUGAGGAGCGAAAGCUAGGGGAGCAAACGGGAUUAGAUACCCCGGUAGUCCUAGCCCUAAACGAUGAAUGCUUGGUGUAACGGGUAUCGAUCCCUGUUGUGCCGAAGCUAACGCAUUAAGCAUUCCGCCUGGGGAGUACGGUCGCAAGGCUG
rnacentral:rRNA from 1 species